rnacentral:rRNA from 1 species
GAUGAACGCUGGCGGCGUGCCUAAUACAUGCAAGUCGAGCGAACGGACGAGAAGCUUGCUUCUCUGAUGUUAGCGGCGGACGGGUGAGUAACACGUGGAUAACCUACCUAUAAGACUGGGAUAACUUCGGGAAACCGGAGCUAAUACCGGAUAAUAUUUUGAACCGCAUGGUUCAAAAGUGAAAGACGGUCUUGCUGUCACUUAUAGAUGGAUCCGCGCUGCAUUAGCUAGUUGGUAAGGUAACGGCUUACCAAGGCAACGAUGCAUAGCCGACCUGAGAGGGUGAUCGGCCACACUGGAACUGAGACACGGUCCAGACUCCUACGGGAGGCAGCAGUAGGGAAUCUCCCGCAAUGAGCGAAAGCCUGACGGAGCAACGCCGCGUGAGUGAUGAAGGUCUUCGGAUCGUAAAACUCUGUUAUUAGGGAAGAACAUAUGUGUAAGUAACUGUGCACAUCUUGACGGUACCUAAUCAGAAAGCCACGGCUAACUACGUG